rnacentral:rRNA from 1 species
AGAGUUUGAUCCUGGCUCAGGAUGAACGCUAGCGGCAGGCUUAACACAUGCAAGUCGAGGGGCAUCGGGAGGGAAGCUUGCUUUCCUUGCCGGCGACCGGCGCACGGGUGAGUAACACGUAUGCAACCUGCCCUCUUCAGGGGGACAACCUUCCGAAAGGGAGGCUAAUCCCGCGUAUAUCGGUUUCGGGCAUCCGAGAUCGAGGAAAGAUUCAUCGGAAGAGGAUGGGCAUGCGGCGCAUUAGCUAGACGGCGGGGUAACGGCCCACCGUGGCGACGAUGCGUAGGGGUUCUGAGAGGAAGGUCCCCCACACUGGUACUGAGACACGGACCAGACUCCUACGGGAGGCAGCAGUGAGGAAUAUUGGUCAAUGGGAGAGAUCCUGAACCAGCCAAGCCGCGUGAGGGAAGACGGCCCUAUGGGUUGUAAACCUCUUUUGUCGGAGAACAAAACCCGGGACGAGUCCCGGACUGCGUGUAUCCGAAGAAAAAGCAUCGGCUAACUCCGUGCCAGCAGCCGCGGUAAUACGGAGGAUGCGAGCGUUAUCCGGAUUUAUUGGGUUUAAAGGGUGCGUAGGCGGUCCGUUAAGUCAGCGGUAAAAUUGCGGGGCUCAACCCCGUCGAGCCGUUGAAACUGGCAGACUUGAGUUGGCGAGAAGUACGCGGAAUGCGCGGUGUAGCGGUGAAAUGCAUAGAUAUCGCGCAGAACUCCGAUUGCGAAGGCAGCGUACCGGCGCCAGACUGACGCUGAGGCACGAAAGCGUGGGGAUCGAACAGGAUUGGAUACCCUGGUAGUCCACGCAGUAAACGAUGAAUACUGGUUGUCCGGGUCGAAUGAGAUCUGGGCGGCGAAGCGAAAGCGAUAAGCAUCCCACCUGGGGAGUACGCCG